GCCGGCCCCUCUCCCUCCCUCCCUCCCGGCCGUGAGGGAGCCGGCCCGCGGCGCGCAUUCCCAAGGCAGAGGGGGGGAGGCAGGACAGUCGCUGGUCUGGAAAGAUAACCCUUGGCGCCACCGCCAUCAGUAAUGAAACGCGAGGUUUUAAGGCAAUUAAAGUGGAAACACCUCGGUGCUCUUUUUUGCACUCGCUGUAAUCAACGUCUCGCCAAACUGAUUCUUCUUCACAGUUUGGGAGGAAUUCAGCCAGAAUCUGGAAACCAAGAGCCAUAAAAACUUCCAACAUCUGCUUCAGGGGGUGCAGGAACAGACCUCUGCCUGCUGCUAAUCACAGACACAAAGGUAAAAUCCAUUGCAACCAGCUCAAGCUGCACUGCCUUGGCACAGCUCGAACCUGCUGUGGCGCCUUUGCCUUGCCAGGAUCCAGCAGCAAGAGGCAAACGCCCGCCCCACAGAUGAACAAGAUGGCACUAGCAUCAUGCGUGGCUUUCCUUUCCUCACUGCAAGAAGAGACUGGAAUACCUAAGGUACUACAUACCGCCUUCCUUCAGGGGGGAACUGAGCCCUGGAUAGGGGAUCAUCUACCCUUCAAGCAAGAAGCAGCUGAACCCCAAGCAGAGAGAGGUGUCAACUUCAUCUGCAAGGAAACUGACCUCCAAAGAGAGGAAGGUCUUUCUCCAAAGCAAGCAGAUACAAGCUCAAAUGUCACAGAGUCUCCUUAUCAUACAGAAGACAGCUGACUCCAAAAUGGAAGAGGCAUUUUCCUUCAAAACAGGAAAGACAAUGUGAAAAGGCUUCCCCACAAAUAAAGGAAAAGGCUGACAGAGGGAAGAGCUCUUCCCAGAGGUACUGACUACAAACAUUACCUCAUGAGGCCUGCUCAGGCAGAUCUCCAGAAACCCCACAAUAAGAGAAUGUAUCCAGAAAACCUUAUGAAUUAGAAAGUUUCAGUAAAAUUCUUAUUUUCCCAUAAAAGGGACGUAAGAUGUUGAAAAACCAAUCCUUCCUUAAAAAAAACAUGGUUUGGAGAAACAUUAGGUCCUCCUUGACUUCAGAACAGGACUUAGAUGUCUUAAAGGUGUUGUUCUAAAACUAGUUAAUGUCCUUUCCAGAAGAGAUGCAGUAGCAAAGCGAGGAAAAAAGUAUAGUCCAAAUAUUUGCUUAACUCUAAAAUUAGAAAGAAUUCUAAAAUUAAUACCAAAACAAUAGAUAUGGUUAUUUAAGUAAAGAAUUUCAGUUUAGGUUUGUCUUAGAUUUGUGGAACCUAAAACAGUUAAUAAAUAUUAAAACAGCUUUACUUCCAUGCUGGGGCAAUUCUGCAUAUUGGUAAUGUUACAGUAGGAUUGCAAGAGUGUUUCACGUAUUUGUUUGCAAAUCCUUAGUCCAAAGAGUGUAUUUCUUUCUCAAGCUGGGUCCUUCAUUAUAUAAUUCCAUCUGUCCCAUAGUAGAAGUUUUGCUAACAGCAUUCAUUUGGUUUAUUCACAAACCCAAGCUAUUGCCAGGAAUAGAUCAAAGAGGAUAGGACAAAACUGCAGGUACAAGGUUUUGGUUUUUUUUUUUUCUUAUGCUUAGAAUGAGAAAAAAUAUGAGCGAUCUAGAGCUAGUGCUAGUUAUUUUCUUAUGUAAAUAAUCAGCACAUCUUAUGUGAGUUUUAUAGGAGUUUGGGGUAAACUUGGGAAAAUUCCCCCCUUUACUCUCUGCUACCUUACAGUUUAAUCCUUUCAAGCCAGAAGACUGGCAUAGUUGAAGUCACCAGGUUUUACAAGUUGCUUGCUCUGUCAGAACCAUUCUUUAAGUCAUGACCUUGCCCUUAAUUACAGGUCAGCAGAUCCCUGCCAACUGUAUUAAUCUGCCUGCUGAUGGUACCAGAGACAAGUCCUGCAUACCCUUGUUUCUGCCGAUUGUUUCAUUUGUGAAGUACCUUCCUGCUCCCCUGCCCCAACUUCUAACCCAGCUAGCAGCUUCACAACUUGGGCCAGUCUGCCUCUGUCGCAAAGGUGGCCUCAUCCAUCUCCCUGUGCUCAGAGAAGCAGCUGAAAACUAACCCAGAAAAUAACUUGUUUUUCAGAGAACAGAUCUAUUGGCUGGAGGAUUAUGUCACAUAAUGGGCCAUUAUACCAGAGAUGGGUCAUUACUAAACCACCUGCUGAGUCUGGGUAUGUCAAGAUGAGAGCACAUUUCAUAAGAGUUAGAAUGUGUGCAUUCACUGACAGAUCAGUAAUCCACGUUCUAUUACAGAUAUGUCAUCUCAAACUUUUAUUUGAACAAGGAAAAGUAAUAUUAAGCCAGAUACAUAAAUCUUCACAUCUGGUUUAUUCUGCCCUUGUGCCCAGUUUGUGAAAGAGGUUGCAGCCACGCAGAUGUUCCAUUGUUAGCAUUACGUUAACUGCAUCACAGCGGCAAAUCUUUGCAAAUGAAAUUUUGGAGAUAGGUAUCUUCCAGCAGAAUUCUGCAUCUGGCAGACAGUGCAAUGGACAAGACAAUGGGCCAGUGGUCAAAGAACAGUCUGCAUCUGACAGACAGCUGACAGUCUGCAAUGUACCAAUGCCAGAGCCAUUCUGAAUACAUUAGCUUAACAGACAGCCCCCUUCUGACUGCAUUCGUAGGGUCUGCUGCAGUAAUAACCUGCUGAAGAUGCUUAGCUAGUGCAAAAUAGGUAUCCCACAAGUCUACUAACAUAAAACAGAGAAACAUAGAUAUCAUUUGUGUCUCAGUACAAAUCAAGUAAUCUAGAACACACUUCAGAGGUUCACCCCAUUAAAAAAAAUACCUGCAUUUCUAUGUUUGUAGAAUUCUAGAAAGCUAUUACAUGGCAAAACACACAAACUCACAGCAGCUAAAAAAUAAAAAUGCCAUAUAGCCACGAUAAAUGCUUGUAACUGAGUGUAUUAUUAGAACAAGUCAUACAAUUAGAGAAACACAACAUUUUAGGUGAGGAAAGCCUUCUUUCAGGUCCACAAUAUGACCAACCUGCAAAUUAAGCCUUGGUUCCACCGCUAAAGCCUAACUGGUGGCUGCACACUUCUAGUUCAUUAUGAAUACCUUGCUGAAGGAAGUAGAUUUCUAAGUAUGAACUGUGUAGUAUAAGUGAAGCAGCCCAAAUCUGUGACAGAUUCCACACAGCUUAAAUAAGAAGGAAGUAAAUUUGGCAUAUAGUCAAGGAAAAAAAGAAAAAGCAAGCUUGUAAGAAGGGAAGUAACACAGUCAACUAAACUGUCGCAAUAUUGCUCAGGCAAGGGUUUACCCAUGACAGCCAUGCACAGAACUUCACUGGUUACACCAACAGCCACUUAAGAAAACACCGAGGCUGACGAAGCACUCAGAUUUUUGCCUUCAUUUCAGUGCUGAAUCCGUUACUAUAGUUAUCAGUUUCCCUUCUCAUUUUAAUAUAUUAAAGAUAACUGUAUUUCAGACUAAGGGUCUGUAGCUGUCCAUGGUAUCAGACUACUCCCCUCCCUCCCCUACCCCAAGCUCAUAAAGGUCUAAAUCAGUGUAUGUUUCUUGAAAGAUGUUCCUCCAGCUCAACAUUCCAAUUUUUGUGGUGGUGGAGGGCAACAUACUGUUACUUUACUGCACGACCUAUACUAAGUAUACUGUCACAACAUAGAAAGCCUCCUAGCAAACCACAGUGCCUGAACGAGUCCAAAUGGCACAGGCGCUCAAUCUGGGAGUAGUUUUGUUUUGAGGGUACAUAAAGAUUUGUUAUAAUCCUUUCCCCUCUACUACCUCCCCUCAACACACCAGGAAAGUCUUAAGAAAAAAGCUACAGAAGCAGAAGACCAAACAAGGGAGCUUUU